AAAGAAGGACGUUCGGCUAAGAGCGUCACAUCCUGUGACAACGCCGAACUGAUUCCCAUCCUGAGAA
rnacentral:sRNA from 1 species